UACGUAGGGGGCCAGCGUUGUCCGAAGUUACUGGGCGUAAAGAGCGCGUAGGCGGGUCUUUAAGUGAGUGGUGAAAGGUUCGGGCUCAACCCGGACACUGCCUUUCAUACUGGGGACCUUGAGUGCGGGAGGGGCGAGUGGAAUGGUCGGUGUAGCGGUGAAAUGCGUAGAUAUCGAUCGGAACACCCAUGGCGAAGGCAGCUCGCUGGUCCGCAACUGACGCUGAGGCGCGAAAGCUAGGGGAGCAAACGGG
rnacentral:rRNA from 1 species